GACCCCCAACGCACACCCUGUAUCCCUGAUUGCCGGUCCUACUCUUGGUGAACCAACUGUGAUAAAAUGGUGCUUCAGAUGGAUGCAGGGUCCAAAGAAGACACCAAGAAUCUCUGGUUCCUAUGAUCACAACAAUAAUUGGUGGAUUUCAUACCUACAUUCAUGGAUGAAGGUCCCUCUGCCCCUUGUUAUAGAUGGACAUGACUCCACACACCCUCUUUCAAAUGUCAUGCCACUGACCAAUCGUGAGAGUUAUAAUCACAGCUCUUCACUGGAUGACACUUGGUAUCCAUGACACCACUCUCUGCUUCCAUGAUCACAGCAGACAGAGCUCAUGACAACUCUCCACUGGAUGACAUCAGAGUUCACAGUCUCACGGGACAAAGGCAAGAAGCAAGACUACAAGGGACAUGUAAAUAUGAAUUGGGAGAAGCAUGAGCUCAAAGGGUCACAGCCAACACAUGGAAGAGAAACAGAUAAAAGAUGGAGACCACACAUGUUAGAGAGCAUUCCAUUAUUGUA